rnacentral:rRNA from 1 species
AACGAACGCUGGCGGCAUGCCUAACACAUGCAAGUCGAACGAGACCUUCGGGUCUAGUGGCGCACGGGUGCGUAACGCGUGGGAACCUGCCCUUAGGUUCGGAAUAACUCCCCGAAAGGGGUGCUAAUACCGGAUAAUGUCUUCGGACCAAAGAUUUAUCGCCUUUGGAUGGGCCCGCGUUGGAUUAGCUAGUUGGUAGGGUAAAAGCCUACCAAGGCGACGAUCCAUAGCUGGUCUGAGAGGAUGAUCAGCCACACUGGGACUGAGGCACGGCCCAGACUCCUACGGGAGGCAGCAGUGGGGAAUAUUGGACAAUGGGCGAAAGCCUGAUCCAGCAAUGCCGCGUGAGUGAUGAAGGCCUUAGGGUUGUAAAGCUCUUUUACCCGGGAUGAUAAUGACAGUACCGGGAGAAUAAGCUCCGACUAACUCCGUG